GGGAAACUUACUAUUCUCUGUCUGUGUGCAUGCAUGUGCACAUACAUGUCACACUGUGCUAGUGAAGGUCAGGGGAAACUUACUAUUCUCUGUCUGUGUGCAUGCAUGUGCACAUACAUGUCACACUGUGCUAGUGGAGGUCAGGGGAAACUUACUAUUCUCUGUCUGUGUGCAUGCAUGUGCACAUACAUGUCACACUGUGCUAGUGGAGGUCAGGGGAAACUUACUAUUCUCUGUCUGUGUGCAUGCAUGUGCACAUACAUGUCACACUGUGCUAGUGGAGGUCAGGGGAAACUUACU